rnacentral:rRNA from 1 species
GAUUGAACGCUGGCGGCAGGCCUACCCCAUGCAAGUCGAGCGGAUGAAGGGAGCUUGCUCCUGGAUUCAGCGGCGGACGGGUGAGUAAUGCCUAGGAAUCUGCCUGGUAGUGGGGGAUAACGUCCGGAAACGGGCGCUAAUACCGCAUACGUCCUGAGGGAGAAAGUGGGGGAUCUUCGGACCUCACGCUAUCAGAUGAGACUAGGUCGGAUUAGCUAGUUGGUGGGGUAAAGGCCUACCAAGGCGACGAUCCGUAACUGGUCUGAGAGGAUGAUCAGUCACACUGGAACUGAGACACGGUCCAGACUCCUACGGGAGGCAGCAGUGGGGAAUAUUGGACAAUGGGCGAAAGCCUGAUCCAGCCAUGCCGCGUGUGUGAAGAAGGUCUUCGGAUUGUAAAGCACUUUAAGUUGGGAGGAAGGGCAGUAAGUUAAUACCUUGCUGUUUUGACGUUACCAACAGAAUAAGCACCGGCUAACUUCGUG